AACAGAGCAAUUUUGAAUAUCAGUACUGCUUUUUGCACUCGAGAUGGUAAAGGAUCUGCAAACAGAAUUGACACAAGGGCCAGCCAUCUGGGAGGGCGGCGGCAGCGGCGAGGCUGCGGGCGCCAACAGUGGCAGCGGACAGAACCAGGAUGGCGUCCUGUGCAUUGAGGGCAAGCUCUACACCAGUGUCGAGAACACCUGGGAGCCUCUUCGUCCUGCAUGCCUCUCCCCCCCCCCCUGCCCUGGAGUAAUGGCAGCGAAGCAAGAGGCCUGGAAGGGUGGCGGUGGCGAACCUGUGGGCGCCGGCAGCGGACGGAACCGGGGCGGCAUCCAGCGCAUCGAGGGAAAGCUCUUUGCCACAAUCAGGAAGGGCUGGCAAUCGUUUCGUCAGGCAAUCUUCCCCACGCCUCCCUCAGGCACGGAGGCACUGCGAAAGGCAGGGAAGGCCGCCAUCACUCUCCCAACUAACGUUCAGAAGGGCAGCUAUUACGUGCCGUACCAGAUACACCGGACGCUGUUCCACAGAAUUGACACAAGGGCCAGCAUCUGGAAGGGCGGCGACGGCGGGGCUGCAGGCGUCAACAACGGCAGUGGACAGAACCGGGGCAGUGUCCUGUGCGGCGAGGGCAAGCACCGCACCAGCGUUGAGAAGGGCUGGGAGCCUCUUCGUCAGGUGGUCUUCCCCACGCCCCCCCCCCACACCUCCUGUUUAGAUUUACCCUAGGCAGAAUAAAUGUAACCCCAGUUAUUUAGAGAAACCA
rnacentral:lncRNA from 1 species